rnacentral:rRNA from 1 species
GUCUACGGCCAUGCCACCCUGAACAAGCCCAAUGUCUGAACUCGGAAGCUAAGCAGGGUCAGGCCUGGUUAGUACUUGGAUGGGAGACCACCUAGGAAGACUAAAUGCUGUAGGCA